ACGACCUUACUUGAACAGGAUCUGUUCUAUAGGCUCGUACCUCUGUAUCCUUGAUUUCUAAGGAGAUAGGAAACCACGUCUGGUGGAUGAACCAUGCCUGCCUGGCUAGAGCGUGAUUAAACAGCCCUUCAAGUUGGAUUUCCAGCUCGUUGUGCAGAAGAUGAUCGUUCUUAGCUUGACUCUGGUCUAGUUAGGAUGGCCAGGCAGUUGUCUGACAGACU